rnacentral:lncRNA from 1 species
GGAUCUUAACUUGUUGUCCUGACGUUUCCCAACAAGGAGCAUUUACUAAACAAAAAUGGCAUUUCCUCGGGCAGACUAUGAAACAAAGUAUCCACCCUAGAAAAUCGGAAUAAGUGGUUGCAGGCAAGCAAAG